rnacentral:rRNA from 1 species
AGCGAACGCUGGCGGCAGGCCUAACACAUGCAAGUCGAACGAACUCUUCGGAGUUAGUGGCGGACGGGGGAGUAACACGUGGGAACGUGCCUUUAGGGUCGGAAUAACACAGGGAAACUUGUACUAAUACCGAAUGUGCCCUUCGGGGGAAAGAUUUAUAGCCUUUAGAGCGGCCCGCGUCCGAUUAGCUAGUUGGUGAGGUAAAGGCUCACCAAGGCUACGAUCAGUAGCAGGUCUGAGAGGAUGACCAGCCACAUUGGGACUGAGACACGGCCCAAACUCCUACGGGAGGCAGCAGUGGGGAAUCUUGCGCAAUGGGCGAAAGCCUGACGCAGCCAUGCCGCGUGGAUGAUGAAGGUCUUAGGAUUGUAAAAUCCUUUCACCGGUGAAGAUAAUGACUGUAGCCGGAGAAGAAGCCCCGGCUAACUUCGUGCCAGCAGCCGCAGUAACAC